AUUGAACGCUGGCGGCAUGCCUUACACAUGCAAGUCGAACGGUAACAGGUCUUCGGAUGCUGACGAGUGGCGAACGGGUGAGUAAUACAUCGGAACGUGCCCGAGAGUGGGGGAUAACGAAGCGAAAGCUUUGCUAAUACCGCAUACGAUCUCAGGAUGAAAGCAGGGGACCGCAAGGCCUUGCGCUCACGGAGCGGCCGAUGGCAGAUUAGGUAGUUGGUGGGAUAAAAGCUUACCAAGCCGACGAUCUGUAGCUGGUCUGAGAGGACGACCAGCCACACUGGGACUGAGACACGGCCCAGACUCCUACGGGAGGCAGCAGUGGGGAAUUUUGGACAAUGGGCGCAAGCCUGAUCCAGCCAUGCCGCGUGCAGGAUGAAGGCCUUCGGGUUGUAAACUGCUUUUGUACGGAACGAAAAGACUCUGGUUAAUACCUGGGGUCCAUGACGGUACCGUAAGAAUAAGCACCGGCUAACUACGUGCCAGCAGCCGCGGUAAUACGUAGGGUGCGAGCGUUAAUCGGAAUUACUGGGCGUAAAGCGUGCGCAGGCGGUUAUGUAAGACAGAUGUGAAAUCCCCGGGCUCAACCUGGGAACUGCAUUUGUGACUGCAUAGCUAGAGUACGGCAGAGGGGGAUGGAAUUCCGCGUGUAGCAGUGAAAUGCGUAGAUAUGCGGAGGAACACCGAUGGCGAAGG
rnacentral:rRNA from 1 species